CCUGGCUCAUAUCCAUGGCAGGUGGGGUUCCCGCUCUGUGCUUUGGAGACCCCCUGCCUCUGUCUCUGUACAGGGGAGCUUCUUCCUUUGUUCUUCCCACUUCUAUCUUGCCUACUAAACUCUGGGCUCCUUAAAACCGCUCCACGUAUGUCCGUGUCGUUUUGUCUAAGCUGGCAUGAGGACCAAGAACCUUGGUGUUCCUCCACUCAUCGGAGCCGUAUCAGUAAGUUUUUGUUGAAAGCCAGAUGCCAGGUAAAAGGAACUCAGUGCAUUCGAAGCAGUGCAGUGGGAAGGGAAGGUAGAGAGAAGAAUCUCCAACAGUUUGUUGAAUAAGAGUGGCAACUGUGGAUACCUUAAUUUUACUUCUGAUGGAGAAAAGCAACUAGUUUUUCACCAUUAAGUAUAACUUAGCUGUAGUAAGUAAAUGUUCUUUAUAAGAUUGAGAAAGUUUCCGUCUAUAUCCAGUUUGUUAAAUGCUUUCACCAUGCAAAGAUAUUGGAUUUUGUCAAAUACUUUUCCUGCAUCUGUUGAAAUUAUCAUCUGAUUGAUUUUCUAUCUGUGGAUAGAGUAUAUUUAAUUAACUAAUUUUCAGAUAUUGCGGUAACUUUGCAUCUGUUGGAUAAAUCCCAAAUGAUUAUGGUGUAUAAUUAUUUUAAUAUAUUGAUGGAUUCUAUUUGCUAGCAUUUUCUUGAGGACUUUUGUGCCCGUAUUCAUAAGAGAUAGUUGUUUUGAAGUUAUCUUUUGUUAUACUGUAUUUUUUGUUUCAAAAUAAUAUUAGCCUCAUAGAAAGAGUUGAGGAAUCUUUCUUCUCUUUUAUUUCUGGAAGAGUUUACAAAUGAUUAUUAUUAAUUAUUUAAAUGUUUGUUAGAAUUUAGAAGUUAAGCCAUCUUGGUUUGGUCUUCUCUUUGUGAAUAGUUUUUAAAUUACCAAUUUAGUCUUUUUACUUGUCUAUUCAAAUAAUGUAAUUCUUCUUAAAUCAGUUUCAAUUUUUUCUUUUCUAAAAAUUUUUCCAUUGUGUCUAUGUUAUCUAGCUUGUUGGCAUUCUAUUUUUCAUAGUAUUCUUUUAUAAUCCAUUUUGUUUUUGAAACAGCAACAGUAAUGUACCCUCUUUCAUUUUUGAUACUAGUGAUAUGGAAGGGGGGCAGGGAAGUGCUGGGUAGAGAAGGGCAAGUCACUGGCAAGGGCUCCACUCUAGGGCCUGUGACCACGGACCUAGGUGAGGACAGGCAUUUCUGUUUUCAUGCUUAAACGUUGCAUUCUCCAAGAUCACCCUGGCCCACCACUGCCCUAUCCUAUGCUUAUGAAAACCCCAAGACCGUAGUGGGUAGAGACACAAGCAGCUGGACAUCCAGAGGAACACAUCAGUGGAAGAAGACACAAGUGGCAAGAUGUUGUAAGAGCACACCGACAGAUGCCAGCAAGCUGUAAGGCCAUCCACUGAAGGAACAAAGUGGAGUAUGUCUGGGGCAGUUGGAGGGGGAUCCCAGGCUGAGAGGCCUGACUCCAGUGGAAAGCCAACUUCUCACUGUCUCACUUCUGGUUCCCCCGUCUGUUGAGAGCUACUUCCAUUUAAUAAAACCUUGCACUCAU
rnacentral:lncRNA from 1 species